AACGAACGCUGGCGGCAUGCCUAACACAUGCAAGUCGAACGAGACCUUCGGGUCUAGUGGCGCACGGGUGCGUAACGCGUGGGAACCUUCCCUUAGGUUCGGAAUAACUCCCCGAAAGGGGUGCUAAUACCGGAUAAUGUCUUCGGACCAAAGAUUUAUCGCCUUUGGAUGGGCCCGCGUUGGAUUAGCUAGUUGGUAGGGUAAAAGCCUACCAAGGCGACGAUCCAAAGCUGGUCCGAGAGGAUGGUCAGCCACCCUGGGACAGAGACCCGGCCCGAAUGCCUCGGGAGGGAGGCAGGGGGGAAGGUGGAACACUGGGUGAAGGCUGAACCCACCAUGGCCGCGGAAGUGUUGAAGGCGUUAGGGUUGUAAGGCUCUUUACCCGGGAUGAUAAUGACAGUACCGGGAGAAUAAGCUCCGGCUAACUCCGUG
rnacentral:rRNA from 1 species